UUCAUAACCUUUCAGCUUUUACUGGAGGUUGUACCACAAGCAUCAACAGAAAAUGCGACAUCUUUUUCUGAGAGUGUCUCAGUUACAGCCACAGGUCUGGCUGUCGUCACAUCUUUACCACUGACUCCAGAGAACGACACACAUACAAUGACCAUCACUGAAACCACUAAAGCUUCAACAGAUUUGGCAAUAACAUCCAGUGCCGAAGUCAUGACAGAUUCAGAAACCAAUAUGCCUAAUCUAACCACCCACGACAGCCACCAUUUCAACAGUUCUGCAAAUACCACCCUGGAAUCGACUACACUGAUUAAAACUACAAAAGACACAUCAGUUUUCACAUUGAUAAACGAAGGCCUUGAAAGUGAAAACAAGUCAAAUAAAAGAAUGUUCUUCCUCGUUGCUGUGGCUGCGACUGGUGGAGGAAUUUUCCUGACUGGACUCAUUGGCAUCUUUAUGUACGGAUGUACACGAAAACCAAAAGCUCAGAGCAUCUGGUUUGAAUCCAGACGUAAAAAACAAGAAGUUACUUUGCCAGUGACCGGUUCAGACUCAAUUGAGGAGGAAGAUUCAGUUGUUUACUCAACAGUAAAGUUCAUAGAGUCCACCUCUCCAACAGCAGAGAUCACUGAAGGAUCAAAUCAAACUGAGCCGCCCGUCUCCAGUGACUGCGAGACUGUCUACAGUCAGGUGACGGUCCUCUGACAGAAUCCAGCUAUCACACACCAUUUAACUCAACCCACAACUCAUCAUAAAUGGAACCAUCAAAUGCAUGCCUUUUUUGGUCAAAUCUUAUGCUUUUUUUAACAACACAACCUCACAACUUUCACAAGUGUCAUAAGUCACAAA
rnacentral:lncRNA from 1 species